ensembl:lncRNA
CGUCAACAACGGGGCGGGGGAGCUUUUGUUGUUGUUUUGGGGCUUUUUGUCGUUUUUUUUGGUUUUUAAAGCUAUUUAAUAAACUUCAUUAGCCUCAACUCAGCACCGUGUCAUGGCUACCGGGGGGCCCAGGCGUCCGGGCAGGGAGGAGGCGGCCGGCAGCGCUGCGCGUCCCUUUAAUUCAUCCCAGGGCGCCAGCGCGAUAACGGUACGUUAAUAAUUCCAUUAACGAUGCUAACGAGGUGGCUGCGGCUGCGGGGGGGGGGUAAUUAGGGGGUGCUAACGAAGCGCCCGGGGGCAGCAACACCGGCUGGGGCGGCAAAACCCGGAGCUGGAGCUGGGGUAAAACCGGGAUCUGGAUCCAGGUCACAGGACAAAACCUGGAGCUGGAGCUGCGGUAAAACCGGGAUCUGGAGCCAGGUCACAGGGCAAAACCUGGAGCUGGAGCUGGGGUAAAACCGGGAUCUGGAGCCAGGUCACAGGGCAAAACCCGGAGCUGGAGCCAGGGUAAAACCAGGAUCUGGAGCCAGGUCACAAGGCAAAACCCGGAGCUGGAGCUGGGGUAAAACCAGGAUCUGGAUCCAGGUCACAGGGCAAAACCCGGAGCUGGAGCUGGGGUAAAACCAGGAUCUGGAUCCUAGCAGACAGUAAAACCCGGAGCCGGCUCAGGGCCCAAACUGGGAUGGGACUGUGGCUGCAGGGAAAACCCGGAGAAGAAGCCCAGGAUCGGGCUGGUCCCAUCUUGUGGCUGGAGGUAAAACCUGGUGGGGAUCCAGGAGCCAGGCCAGAUUAGGGCUUGCUCCCAUGGUGGGAAGGAAAACCCGGAUGGAGCCCGGAUUGGCUCCCGGCUGGAGGCAAAACUCGGCCAGGACUUUGGACAGGGCUGACCCAGGGCCCGGAAUUAGGGCGGGAGAUAAAACCCGGCCAAGAUCAGGGAUGAGACCGUGACCAGCCCCACGGUUAGAGGAAAACCUGACCUGGAUUUGGGUCUGGGUCAGGGUUGGAGCCAAAACCUGGGCAGGAUCGCAGUGUGGAUCUGGGUUGGAACCGAAACCCAUCCUGGACUGUUGCCUGGGUCCCAGUGGAAAGCAAGAUCCGAGCUGGAUUGCGUCCUGGAGCCUGGUUGGAACCAAAACUUGUCCUGGAUUACAGUCCAGAUCUGUGCUGAAAGCAAAAUCCGUGCUGGAUUGUGUUCUGGAGCCGUGCUGGAGCCAAAACCCGUCCUGGAUUGUGGCCCAGAUCUGGGUUGGAGCCAAAGCCCGUGCUGGAUCACUUYCUGGAUCCGUGUUGGAGCCAAGACCUGUCCUGGAUCAUGUCGGGGAUCCAUGUCAGAACCAAGACCCUUCCUGGAUGACGUCCCAGAUCCGUGUCAGAACCAAGACCCAUCCUGAAUCACGUCGGGGAUGGAACCAAAGCCUGUCUUGGAUCCCAUCCCGGAUCUAUGCUAGAGCCAAAACUUGUCCUGGAUUACAGCCCAGAUCCGUGCUGAAAGCAAAAUCCGUGCUGGAUUGUGUCCUGAAGCCGUGCUGGAGCCAAAACCCAUGCUGGAUCACGUUCUGGAUCCGUGUUGGAGCCAAGACCUGUCCUGGAUCACGUUGGGGAUCUGGGCUAGAGCCAAGACCCAUCCUGGAUCACGUCCUGGAUCCGUGUCAGAACCAAGACCCGUGCCGGAUCCCAUCGGGGAUCUGUGCUGGAGCCAAGCCCCGCGCUGGACGGC